GACAGUGUAGCUCAGUGGUAGAGUGCAUGCUUAGCAUGCGCAAGGUCCUGGGUUCAAUCCCCAGUACUUCCA
rnacentral:tRNA from 1 species